rnacentral:rRNA from 1 species
UACGUAGGAUGCAAGCGUUGUCCGGAAUUAUUGGGCGUAAAGAGCGCGCAGGCGGCUGGUCAAGUCCGAUGUGAAAGCUCCCGGCUUAACUGGGAAAUUGCAUCGGAAACUGAUCGGCUGGAAGGUGGGAGAGGGUAGCGGAAUUCCCGGUGUAGUGGUGAAAUGCGUAGAUAUCGGGAGGAACACCAGUGGCGAAAGCGGCUACCUGGCCCAUACUUGACGCUGAGGCGCGAAAGCCAGGGGAGCAAACGGG